AGUGAACGCUGGCGGUAGGCCUAACACAUGCAAGUCGAACGGCAGCACAGUAAGAGCUUGCUCUUACGGGUGGCGAGUGGCGGACGGGUGAGGAAUACAUCGGAAUCUACUUUUUCGUGGGGGAUAACGUAGGGAAACUUACGCUAAUUCCGCAUACGACCUACGGGUGAAAGCAGGAGAUCUUCGGACCUUGCGCGAUUGAAUGAGCCGAUGUCGGAUUAGCUAGUUGGCGGGGUAAAGGCCCACCAAGGCGACGAUCCGUAGCUGGUCUGAGAGGAUGAUCAGCCACACUGGAACUGAGACACGGUCCAGACUCCUACGGGAGGCAGCAGUGGGGAAUAUUGGACAAUGGGCGCAAGCCUGAUCCAGCCAUACCGCGUGGGUGAAGAAGGCCUUCGGGUUGUAAAGCCCUUUUGUUGGGAAAGAAAAGCAGCAGGUGAAUACCCCGCUGUUCUGACGGUACCCAAAGAAUAAGCACCGGCUAACUUCGUG
rnacentral:rRNA from 1 species